UACAGAGGUCUCAAGCGUUGUUCGGAUUCAUUGGGCGUAAAGGGUGCGUAGGCGGCGCGGUAAGUCGGGUGUGAAAUCUCGGAGCUUAACUCCAAAACUGCAUUCGAUACUGCCGUGCUUGAGGACUGGAGAGGAGACUGGAAUUUACGGUGUAGCGGUGAAAUGCGUAGGUAUCGUAAGGAAGACCAGUGGCGAAGGCGGGUCUCUGGACAGUUCCUGACGCUGAGGCACGAAGGCCAGGGGAGCAAACGGG
rnacentral:rRNA from 1 species